GCUGACCUCCUAUGUAUUAGAAGCACUCAACCCACAUAAUAUAUAUUUGAUUAAGCUGCAGUCACGUGACCGGAACGGUGUUCUGCGCAUGCUUGCGUCUGCUAACGGCUCUUGUGCCCCAGACACUCCAGAUGUUUGUGUCGCGAUGUGGAUAGGAGUUGCAGCAAGUGUCCUUUUAACGCUGGGCGGUGGACUGAUCGUGGUUAAACGUGUUCGAAGAAUAAUAAAACGGCGAUUGUCUUACGUUAUUACGCUGCCGGUGCAUUGGAGUGAGCAGCAAUCUCUGAUAACGGUACUCUGAAACGCAUGAAUUAUCAUGGGCAGCAAUCACUGAUAACGGAACUCUGAAACGCAUGGAUUAUCAUGGAC